rnacentral:rRNA from 1 species
GGUGUAGCGGUGAAAUGCGCAGAUAUCAGGAGGAACCCCGGUGGCGAAGCCGGGUCUUCGGGAAGUAACUGACGCUGAGAAGCGAAAGCAUGGGUAGCAAACAGGAUUAGAUACCCUGGUAGUCCAUGCCGUAAACGGUGGGUACUAGGUGUGGGGCUCCUUCCACGGACUCCGUGCCGUAGCUAACGCAUUAAGUACCCCGCCUGGGGAGUACGGCCGCAAGGCUAAAACUCAAAGAAAUUGACGGGGGCCCGCACAAGCGGCGGAGCAUGUGGAUUAAUUCGAUGCAACGCGAAGAACCUUACCUGGGUUUGACAUACACCAGAAACACGUAGAGAUACGUGCCCCCUUGUGGUUGGUGUACAGGUGGUGCAUGGCUGUCGUCAGCUCGUGUCGUGAGAUGUUGGGUUAAGUCCCGCAACGAGCGCAACCCUUAUCUUAUGUUGCCAGCGCGUAAUGGCGGGGACUCGUGAGAGACUGCCGGGGUCAACUCGGAGGAAGGUGGGGACGACGUCAAGUCAUCAUGCCCCUUAUGUCCAGGGCUUCACACAUGCUACAAUGGCCGGUACAGAGGGCUGCGAUACCGUGAGGUGGAGCGAAUCCCUUAAAGCCGGUCUCAGUUCGGAUCGGGGUCUGCAACUCGACCCCGUGAAGUUGGAGUCGCUAGUAAUCGCAGAUCAGCA